rnacentral:rRNA from 1 species
UCGACGGUCAAAGCUUUGUGGUUUACUACUUAGUGGAGAUAGUGGCGAACGGGUGAGUAACGCGUGGGCAACCUGCCCUGGAGACCGGGAUAACACCGCGAAAGUGGUGCUAAUACCGGAUAUGCUCUUAGUACCGCAUGGUACAGAGAGGAAAGAAAUUCGCUCUAGGAUGGGCCCGCGUCCCAUUAGCUAGUUGGUGAGGUAACUGCUCACCAAGGCGACGAUGGGUAGCCGGUCUGAGAGGAUGAACGGCCACACUGGAACUGAGACACGGUCCAGACUCCUACGGGAGGCAGCAGUGGGGAAUCUUCCGCAAUGGACGAAAGUCUGACGGAGCAACGCCGCGUGGGUGAUGAAGGUUUUCGGAUUGUAAAACCCUGUCAGGAAGGAAGAUAAUGACGGUACUUCCAAAGGAAGCCCCGGCUAACUACGUGCCAGCAGCCGCGGUAAUACGUAGGGGGCAAGCGUUGUCCGGAAUAACUGGGCGUAAAGAGCACGUAGGCGGUCUUUUAAGUCAGAUGUGAAAUAUCCCGGCUCAACUGGGAGGGUGCAUUUGAUACUGGAAGACUAGAGUGCAGGAGAGGAAAGUGGAAUUCCUAGUGUAGCGGUGAAAUGCGUAGAUAUUAGGAGGAACACCAGUGGCGAAGGCGGCUUUCUGGACUGUAACUGACGCUGAGGUGCGAAAGCCAGGGUAGCAAACGGGAUUAGAUACCCCGGUAGUCCUGGCCGUAAACGAUGGGUACUAGGUGUAGGAGGUAUCGACCCCUUCUGUGCCG